GGAAGUAAAAGUCGUAACAAGGUCUCCGUAGGUGAACCUGCGGAGGGAUCAUUACAAGUGACCCCGGUUUACCACCGGGAUGUUCAUAACCCUUUGUUGUCCGACUCUGUUGCCUCCGGGGCGACCCUGCCUUCGGGCGGGGGCUCCGGGUGGACACUUCAAACUCUUGCGUAACUUUGCAGUCUGAGUAAACUUAAUUAAUAAAUUAAAACUUUUAACAACGGAUCUCUUGGUUCUGGCAUCGAUGAAGAACGCAGCGAAAUGCGAUAAGUAAUGUGAAUUGCAGAAUUCAGUGAAUCAUCGAAUCUUUGAACGCACAUUGCGCCCCCUGGUAUUCCGGGGGGCAUGCCUGUUCGAGCGUCAUUUCACCACUCAAGCCUCGCUUGGUAUUGGGCAACGCGGUCCGCCGCGUGCCUCAAAUCGACCGGCUGGGUCUUCUGUCCCCUAAGCGUUGUGGAAACUAUUCGCUAAAGGGUGUUCGGGAGGCUACGCCGUAAAACAAACCCAUUUCUAAGGUUGACCUCGGAUCAGGUAGGGAUACCCGCUGAACUUAAGCAUAUCAAUAAGCGGAGGA
rnacentral:rRNA from 1 species